rnacentral:ncRNA from 2 species
GAAGAUCGGGGUGAUGGGGUUCACCCGGAACCGUCCGCCGGGAGGCGGGCUGAUGACUCCUGCGAUGGC